ACGAAAUCUAGUCUUUCUUUUCACAUUAAAAACCCUUUCGCCUCUCAAACUUGAAAUUGAAAUUCAAAAUGGCAAUGGUAGCGGAAAUAUCGGGCUCAAAAUCUCGUAUCCGUUUCAAUUUCGCGUCUUCGUGAUUCCCUGGGUGAGGAAAACAGUGCAAUUUUGUGUGCAAAAGGAAGGACUAUAGUUCAUCGGCUCCUGUUAAAUAUGUUCCCAAGAAAUUUUCAAAGACAAACAAAACGGAAAAUUGUUUGCCCAUAAAGAGUUUGGAGAGUGCGAAUACCGAAAGGUGUGGAUGCCAGUGAAUUGAGAAUUGACGUUAAAAUGGUGGAGAUGUAAAGAAGUAUUGCUUUGAUGAGAAGGUUCGAAAUCAAAGUCGAAUGACUGAUACAACCUGUUAUUUGAUGAUUCUAAGCGAGCUUUUGAAGAAGAAAAUGGUGAUUGGGAGUUUAUAGAGCAUGGACUGAUGGAAGAAACUGAGGAGUUUAUUGAAGAACCCCAGGAGGUAGUGGAGGAGAUGAA